AGUUUCAAGAUUACCUUAACUUCCGUUUCCUUCUUUGCUCUUCUCGUCUUUUUUUCUCGGCGUUUGCCAACUGUACGUAUUUCUUUCUUUGUUCCGGAGUCAUUUGUGUCCAUAAUUUUCCAGCUGCACGAGCAAUCACGGUUACGUGUUCCUUUGGCUUUUUACUCCGUAACCGUAGAAAGAAGAUGAUAAAAGGAUUAGUCGCACGACAUUUUAUUAUUUCUUUUCCACUGGUUCGGGAUUCGGAACCAUUUACAAAUUUUUUAGUUUUUCCUGGACGAUCACCUACGCUACCCAAAGGCCGCAUUACUUGACAAUUUUUUCCAAAAACUUCUCGUAAAAAGUGAAAUUGAAGUGACAUUGUCAAC
rnacentral:misc_RNA from 1 species